AACGUAGGAGACAAACGUUAUCCGGAGUUACUGGGCGUAAAGGGCGUGUAGGUGGUUUCGUAAGUCUGGCGUGAAAUUUCUCGGCUUAACCGAGGCAGGUCGUCGGAUACUGCGGAACUUGAGGACGGUAGAGGCGUGUGGAAUUCCGGGUGUAGUGGUGAAAUGCGUAGAGAUCCGGAGGAACACCAGUGGCGAAGGCAGGUCUCUGGGCAUUAACUGACGCUGAGGAGCGAAAGCAUGGGGAGCGAACAGG
rnacentral:rRNA from 1 species